rnacentral:rRNA from 1 species
UAGAGUUUGAUCCUGGCUCAGAGCGAACGUUAGCGGCAGGCCUAACACAUGCAAGUCGCACGAGAAUUCGGCUUCGGCCGAUAGUAAAGUGGCGGACGGGUGAGUAACACGUGGAUAAUCUGCCCUUCGGCGGGGGAUAACAGUCCGAAAGGAUUGCUAAUACCGCAUACGUCGGCGAGGUCUUUGGACCUUGUCGGGAUAGGUGGCCUCUUCAUGAAAGCUACCACCGAAGGAUGAGUCCGCGGCCCAUCAGCUAGUUGGCGGUGUAAGAGACCACCAAGGCGAAGACGGGUAGCUGGUCUGAGAGGAUGAUCAGCCACACUGGAACUGAGACACGGUCCAGACUCCUACGGGAGGCAGCAGUGGGGAAUAUUGGGCAAUGGGCGCAAGCCUGACCCAGCCAUGCCGCGUGAGUGAUGAAGGCCUUCGGGUCGUAAAGCUCUGUGGAGAGGGAAGAGACCCGCUAUGGCUAAUAUCCAUGGCGAUUGACGGUACCUCUUUAGCAAGCACCGGCUAACUCCGUGCCAGCAGCCGCGGUAAUACGGAGGGUGCAAACGUUGCUCGGAAUCAUUGGGCGUAAAGCGCACGUAGGCGGCUCGUUAAGUCGGAUGUGAAAGCCCUGGGCUCAACCCACGAAGUGCAUUCGAAACUGGCGAGCUUGAAUAUGGAAGAGGGUCGCGGAAUUCCCGGUGUAGAGGUGAAAUUCGUAGAUAUCGGGAGGAGCACCAGUGGCGAAGGCGGCGACCUGGGCCAUAUUGACGCUGACGUGCGAAAGCGUGGGGAGCAAACAC